rnacentral:rRNA from 1 species
AACGCGAAGAACCUUACCUGGGCUUGAACUACUCGUGGUAAGCCGAUAGAAAUAUUGGCUGACCCGCAAGGGAGCGAGCAGAGGUGCUGCAUGGUUGUCGUCAGCUCGUGUCGUGAGAUGUUGGGUUAAGUCCCGCAACGAGCGCAACCCCUACUCGAUGUUGCUAAUCCCGCAAGGGAUGCACUCUUCGAGAACUGCCUUCGAUAAGAAGGAGGAAGGUGGGGACGACGUCAAAUCCUCAUGGCCCUUAUGUCCAGGGCUACACACGUGCUACAAUGGCCGGUACAACGGGAAGCAAUACCGUAAGGUGGAGCCAAACCCUGAAAGCCGGCCCCAGUUCAGAUUGUGGGCUGCAACUCGCCCACAUGAAGGCGGAAUCGCUAGUAAUCGCGAAUCAGCAGGUCGCGGUGAAUACGUUCCCGGGCCUUGUA